AGGCCCAAAAGCCCACAAGACAGCCGCGGAGACGCGAAUGGUAGAAGUCACUAGAAGCGCCACACAACCCUAAUGUCUUUCCCCUUCCCUCAGCCGCCGCACUCACCAUCACCAUCGUCUCGCACAACAAGCAGUGCCGCCGCCUUGGAUCCCCCACCUAUGCCGCCGCCUCGGAUCCCCCACCUAUGCCGCCGCCCCAGAUCCCCCACCUACGCCGCCGCCCAGUGCCUCGCCCCCAUCUUCUUCAUCCAUACUACACCGCUCAUCGUCGCCGCCCCAUCCCUUCAUCGCCCACGCCGCCGCCUAGUGCCGUCGCCCUCGCAUCCCCCGCCCACGACGACGCCUCUGCAUCCCCCAUUGACGCCGCUGCCGUAGGUCAGUGGCAAGUUCGGAGGCGACCUCCACGAAACGCUUGACGAUCUGGCCUCCAUCCAGAGCACGCAGUCGAUGUUGGCAUCGGCAGAUUCGUUCACCAUGGUGGCAGCGCUGGCGUGGUGAGCCUGGCCUUGGGUGCCCUCUACCCGCCCUUCAUCUCUCGUUGCCUAUGGUGUGCCACUACCAUCUCGGGCAAACCUGCAGAGAAAACUUGAUCGGUCCAAAGCUUUCGAGAUGCAUUGUGAAUGAUGGCUGAGAUGUGGUGCAAAACAGAACGGAAAGAAACUUCUUGUGAUUUCAGGGAGCAGAAGUGGAUGUGAUCGCCGGUCACCGUCAAGAGAGUGCUUCCUUGGCUUGCUACCAAAGGAAAAUGGUGAGUUUGUUACUUGAGUAAAACUAUCAUCUUUGUUCUUAAUUUUUAUUGGCUCUAUAAUGAGUAGAUACUACAAUACUAGGUGGUGUAGUAUCUUGGCACCUUGUUAGGAUUAAGAAAGACAUCUAUUGGUUCUCUAAUCAGUACAUAUAGUAUUUGCUCUCUCUAAGAAAUAGCUGAACAAUGCCAAACUGAAAGUAACAAUAAUCUUGGUACUCGUUCAUUUAUAGUUCUAUAUACAAUAUGCCAAAAACUGGUACUUCAUGCUCUGGCUUGUAACAUACGGAAACUUUAUGCUGUUUGUCACUAUGGAACAGCAUGGGUACCUAACGCUUGUGCUCUGCUCAUGCUCCUGGCAGAUCCUUUUGGGUCAGAAAGCUUCUGUGUUCUGGUAUGCUCCUUGGUAAUUUUUAUUUCGUAGUGGCUAGUUUCUACUCAUUUCUGUUUUUGUCUUUUAAGAAUAGUCUGCAAAUAUAAAUGAGGAUGUGUUACUUUGUGCAACAUCUGUAAGCUAUGUUGUUCAAUAUUGCUUCUUAAAUUACUUCUGAGUUAGGUACUUUUUUCCCGGUGUAUUGCUUUAAAGAAAUAGGCCUUAAAGGGUGUGUUUUUUAAAACUCUACUAGUCAUGUUGUACAUGUACUAGUCUUGUUGCUGUUACUAGGCAUUUUUAAUACAUUUAUUUGAUAUUUAGAGAAUAAGUGCUCCCUCCGUCCCAUAAUGUAAGACGUUUUUCGACACUAAAACGUCUUACAUUAUGGGACGGAGGGAGUAAUUUAUAUGUAUUAUAUGCUGGGCGAAAAUAUUUCCAUAUAUAAACAUGCCAUGGCUAAUUGGUAAUCUUACUACAUGUUGGAUGCUUUUUUGACCUUCUGGGAGAUAUGAUAUACUCCCUCCGUCCCAUAAUAUAAGAACGUUUUUGACACUACACUAGUGUCAAAAACGUUCUUAUAUUAUGGGGUGGAGGGAGUAUGAGCAAGUGUUUCAAACUUUUGACCCUUUCAGUUAAGUUUAUAUGUAAACUACUACCCUUUGAAGAUAUGAGAAUGAAUGCCAUGUGAUACAAGUUAACCUUGCGUACUGUACUGUGAACUGAACCUGCCUUUUGUCUCUUGGGAUGAUGUUGAUAUUUCACCAGUAUAUGUAUCACAAGUCAAACUGAACUUGAGAGUUUCAUCCAUUGGACAAAAUCUCUGACGAGAGCUUAGCUAAUCACUAAAACUAUGUUGUUCUUAAAUUACUAUCUAGUUGAAGCGAUGUAGUCUAGUGACCAGGUUGUGCUUUGAUUAAAUACUUCUAAGAUGCCGUAAUUGGUUUGCUUCUUUUUUCAGGUCUGCUUUUGCACCCACAAGUUUAUGGAUCUGUGUUUUGUGAUCUAAAAGGACCUCUUGCUAGAAUCUAACUCGGUUUUUGGUUUUAAUAUCUAUCUGAUGAAGUUGCACUCUAGGAUGGAAUCACCUUGUAACUGAAACAAGAUGUUAUAUUUAGUGAUGUUAUACUGGAGGCAUGAACCUACAAAUGCAUGCAUGUAUACAUGAUGGAUUGUUGUCCUUUUGGCUGUGAUGUAGUACUGGACUUGUGAACCUGUAUGUAUGCUGUGAUGCAGUACUACACUUGUGAACCUACAAAUGUAUACAUAUGUAUGUAUGCAGACACAAUGUAAUGUUGAGAUAUAUAUGUUAUGAUGCAAUUUUAAUUACACUACA